CCAGGGAUGGGCUGCCAGAGCUUGGGAUCAUCCAAGGCCUCAGCACAGGCGUGAGAGGCGGUGUAUGGGCCCUGCGUGCGGGACAUCGGAGAGGAAGGCCCAAGCGUGCAGAAGCCCCAGGCCCAUGGGAGUGCUGGGGACUGGCAGCCCUGGGAAGGUUCAGGAAAUCAGCCUCCUGCUCAGAAUAGCUGUUGGGGAGCAUAAAGCAUCAAAAAGCUUGUUUGGAUUUGGAUUAACAGAAAAGUCCCGGAGAUGGGUAGCGGUGAUGGCUGUAUAACCUUGUGGUUGUACUUAAUCCCGCCAAAGCUGUGCACCUAAACGACCGAAUCUAGGAUCUCGUGGGCCUUCAGUCGUCUUGUCUCCUGGGCCUCCUCUGCUCUGUGACAGCUUCUCAGUCUUUCUUUGUUCAUCGUGAC